AGUCGAGGGGUAUAGUAGCAAUACUAGAGACCGGCGCACGGGUGCGUAACGCGUAUGCAAUCUACCUUUUGCAGAGGGAUAGCCCAGAGAAAUUUGGAUUAAUACCUCAUAGUAUUAUAGUAUGGCAUCAUAUUAUAAUUAAAGUCACAACGGCAAAAGAUGAGCAUGCGUCCCAUUAGUUAGUUGGUAAGGUAACGGCUUACCAAGACUACGAUGGGUAGGGGUCCUGAGAGGGAGAUCCCCCACACUGGUACUGAGACACGGACCAGACUCCUACGGGAGGCAGCAGUGAGGAAUAUUGGACAAUGGGCGCAAGCCUGAUCCAGCCAUGCCGCGUGCAGGAUGACGGUCCUAUGGAUUGUAAACUGCUUUUGUACAGGAAGAAACACCCCCUCGUGAGGGGGCUUGACGGUACUGUAAGAAUAAGGAUCGGCUAACUCCGUGCCAGCAGCCGCGGUAAUACGGAGGAUCCAAGCGUUAUCCGGAAUCAUUGGGUUUAAAGGGUCCGUAGGCGGCUUUAUAAGUCAGUGGUGAAAUCUCCCCGCUCAACGGGGAAACGGCCAUUGAUACUGUAAGGCUUGAAUUAUUAGGAAGUAACUAGAAUAUGUAGUGUAGCGGUGAAAUGCUUAGAGAUUACAUGGAAUACCAAUUGCGAAGGCAGGUUACUACUAAUGGAUUGACGCUGAUGGACGAAAGCGUGGGUAGCGAACAGGAUUAGAUACCCUGGUAGUCCACGCCGUAAACGAUGGAUACUAGCUGUUGGGGGC
rnacentral:rRNA from 1 species